rnacentral:tRNA from 1 species
GUCGUUGUAGUAUAGUGGUGAGUAUCCCCGCCUGUCACGCGAGGAGACCCGGGUUCGACCCCCGGCAACGGCG